UACGUAGGGUGCGAGCGUUAAUCGGAAUUACUGGGCGUAAAGUGUGCGCAGGCGGCCGAGCAAGUCGAGUGUGAAAGCCCCGGGCUUAACUUGGGAAUUGCGCUCGAAACUACUUGGCUGGAGUGUGGCAGAGGAAGGUGGAAUUCCAGGUGUAGCGGUGAAAUGCGUAGAGAUCUGGAGGAACACCAAUGGCGAAGGCAGCACUCUGGGACGUGACUGACGCUGAGACGCGAAAGCGUGGGGAGCAAACAGG
rnacentral:rRNA from 1 species